GACGAACGCUGGCGGCGUGCUUAACACAUGCAAGUCGAACGAGAGCGUAGAGAAAGCUUGCUUUUUCUACAAUCUAGUGGCAAACGGGUGAGUAACGCGUAAACAACCUGCCCUACGGAUGGGGACAACAGCUGGAAACGGCUGCUAAUACCGAAUACGUUCCGAAAGUCGCAUGACUAUCGGAAGAAAGGAUGGCCUCUAUUUAUAAGCUAUCGCCGGAGGAGGGGUUUGCGUCUGAUUAGCUAGUUGGAGGGGUAACGGCCCACCAAGGCGACGAUCAGUAGCCGAUCUGAGAGGAUGAACGGCCACAUUGGAACUGAGACACGGUCCAGACUCCUACGGGAGGCAGCAGUGGGGAAUCUUCCGCAAUGGGCGAAAGCCUGACGGAGCAACGCCGCGUGAGUGAAGACGGCCUUCGGGUUGUAAAGCUCUGUUAUACGGGACGAAUAAUCUUGUGGUUAAUACCCAUGAGAAGUGACGGUACCGUAAGAGAAAGCCACGGCUAACUACGUG
rnacentral:rRNA from 1 species